rnacentral:tRNA from 1 species
CGGGGUGUAGCGCAGCCCGGUUAGCGCGCCUGCUUUGGGAGCAGGAUGUCAGGAGUUCGAAUCCCCUCACCCCGA